rnacentral:rRNA from 1 species
AUUGAACGCUGGCGGCAGGCCUAACACAUGCAAGUCGAGCGGUAGCACAGAGAGCUUGCUCUCGGGUGACGAGCGGCGGACGGGUGAGUAAUGUCUGGGAAACUGCCUGAUGGAGGGGGAUAACUACUGGAAACGGUAGCUAAUACCGCAUAACGUCGCAAGACCAAAGUGGGGGACCUUCGGGCCUCAUGCCAUCAGAUGUGCCCAGAUGGGAUUAGCUGGUAGGUGGGGUAACGGCUCACCUAGGCGACGAUCCCUAGCUGGUCUGAGAGGAUGACCAGCCACACUGGAACUGAGACACGGUCCAGACUCCUACGGGAGGCAGCAGUGGGGAAUAUUGCACAAUGGGCGCAAGCCUGAUGCAGCCAUGCCGCGUGUGUGAAGAAGGCCUUCGGGUUGUAAAGCACUUUCAGCGGGGAGGAAGGCAUUAAGGUUAAUAACCUUAGUGAUUGACGUUACCCGCAGAAGAAGCACCGGCUAACUCCGUGCCAGCCGCCGCGGUAA